GAUGAAGAACGCAGCGAAACGCGAUAAGUAAUGUGAAUUGCAGAAUUCAUUGAAUCAUCGAAUCUUUGAACGCACAUGGCGCCUUCCAGUAUCCUGGGAGGCAUGCCUGUCCGAGCGUCGUUUCAACCCUCGAGCCCCCGUCUUAGGGGGCCCGGCGUUGGGGUUCCACGCCUGGCGUGGUCCCUGAAAAUCAGCGGCGGACCCGUGGCGGCCCUUCCCUUGCGUAGUAGCUUACGCCUCGCAUCGGGAGCCCGCGGGCCUCUAGCCGUCAAAACCCCCUACAAGCCCGCCCCGCGCGGCACAAGGUUGACCUCGGAUCAGGUAGGAAUACCCGCUGAACUUAAGCAUAUCAAUAAGCGGAGGA
rnacentral:misc_RNA from 1 species